rnacentral:rRNA from 1 species
UCGAGGAUCUUCGUCAAUGGGGGCAACCCUGAACGAGCGAUGCCGCGUGCGCGAUGAAGGCCUUCGGGUUGUAAAGCGCGAAAGUGGGGAGAAAAGCCGAAAGGCCUGAUCUAUCCACAGUAAGCUCGGGCUAAGUUCGUGCCAGCAGCCGCGGUAAGACGAACCGAGCGAACGUUGUUCGGAAUAACUGGGCUUAAAGGGCGCGUAGGCGGGCUGUCAAGUUUGGGGUGAAAUGCCACGGCUCAACCGUGGAACUGCCUCAAAUACUGACGGUCUCGAGGGAGGUAGGGGCGAGCGGAACGGAUGGUGGAGCGGUGAAAUGCGUUGAUAUCAUCCGGAACUCCGGUGGCGAAGGCGGCUCGCUGGACCUUUUCUGACGCUGAGGCGCGAAAGCUAGGGGAGCAAACGG